rnacentral:rRNA from 1 species
UUCGCAAUGCCCGAAAGGCUGACGGAGCGACGCCGCGUGCAGGAUGAAGGGCUUCGGCUUGUAAACUGCUUUUACAGGGGAAGAAUUUGUGACGGUACCUUGUGAAUAAGAGGUUGCUAACUCUGUGCCAGCAGCAGCGGUAAUACAGAGACCUCAAGCGUUAUCCGGAUUUACUGGGCGUAAAGCGUCCGCAGAUGGUCUAAUGGGUCAGGGGUUAAAACCUGGUGCUUAACAUCAGGCUCGCCUUUGAAACUAUUGGACUAGAGUGUGGGAGAGGUAAGCGGAAUUGCCGGUGUAGUCGUAAUAAGCGCUGAUAUCGGCAAGAACACCAAAUGCGAAGGCAGCUUACUGGAACACAACUGACACUAAGGGACGAAAGCGUGGGGAGCAAACAGGAUUAGAUACCCUGGUAGUCCACGCCCUAAACUAUGGGCACUAAGUAGAGGGGUUUU